GGCAAGUCAAACUAAUGACACACAGGCAAAUCAAAUGAUGCCACACAGGCAACCAAAAUAAUGUCACUCAGGCAAAUCACACAUUGGACCGCGAAUCCAAAUGUAUGAAAAUCGGAUAGUGUGUUUGGCACAACAUCACCAAUCCGCAGAACAGAAAACUAGGGUUAACCCAUACGCCUCCCACAACAAAACACCAAAUGGCCCACUUCCUCCGGAGCCCAAAACGGAGACAUCGUGGACUAAUCAC
rnacentral:lncRNA from 1 species